rnacentral:lncRNA from 1 species
CUCAGCUAUCACUGGUACACAAAAUUUCAGCUUGUUUAACUGCCUACAUCUCUCUCUGAAGUUAACAGUAGAAUAGCCAAGUAGAAAUCAUUCCCCAGAUGUUACAAGUGCUCUGAAAUAUGUUUGAAACUAUCUAAAUACUUUACACUUCUUAUAAAUUCAUAUCUUGAUCCCAGAAGAGGAUCCAGUGCACUCACCAUGGACUAAUAAACAUUUAGAAAAGUUAAAUUACUUAGAGAUAUUUAAGUUUCAUACAAAUAUGUGUAAAGUGUAGACACUCUCCAGCAUAAAACAGAACCUGCAAAGAUCUUUGUUUAUUUAAUUGCAUUUUGGUUCAUCCAUUUAAUAAAGAGGAUCAUUUUUUAACCUCUCCAGUAACAAACAGUAUUUCAGAUUCUGUUACAACAGGCUGGAGAAAGAGAAAUCUUAAACCGAGGGCGUUUAGUCACCUGCAGAGUAGGAGAGAUUGAAAAGGAAAAUAGAUUUACUGCCUUCCACAUUAGUCUGAAGGCAAUUUGUGUUUGAAUUCCUCUUAAAUCAAUUUCUGAAUAAUAUUAGUUGUCUGAAAUGAUGCAAAAUUAUAUUGGAAUUCAGCCCCGUUUUGCCGCACAAAGAAAUUCUCUCUCUUCGUCCUUGCUACUCUUUAAGUCAUCUGUUUUCCCCUCAUUUAUUCUUUCAUGAUGUGCUCUGCCUGCUGACGAGUGAAAUGUGAACAGGAAGUGGGAAGGAGCAGCCUUUGUCUCUCCUGCCAGUGUGCUUCAUACAUUUGGGAAGAAGCAGACCUGCAUCAUAAAACCAACCGAAAGCCACGGAGUUACCUCUCUAAAAAAUGUAAUGGACUGUACUGAAAGCCUAACUUUGACUGAUGUGAGGUUUGGGACUUCAUCCAGGAGAUGCUGGCAUGUCAGAGUCCCUUUGAUGAGCAGAGUGUAGUAAGCAACAGACACUGGGAAAAUACUUCCUAUCUGUUAGAAAAAGGUGACAGUUUUCAAAUAGAUGAUACACGAUUUAGUUUUGUUGGUCCUUUUCAAGACUGAGAUAUCAAGGCUCACAUGUUCAGAGGACUUGACAUCAGUAAGAGCUGCCACAGACCCUUUACAACAGACUAAUCAAAAUGAAAAAACCCAAACCUGUAGGAGAUUACUUUUAAGAAGGUUACAUCUAGGUCCAAGAGUCUUCAGCAAUUCUUUGCAAGC